CGCAAACACCGACAUAAUGAAGUUACUGAUAGAGUUCACAUCCCACGAACCCACUCCCCCUCCCCUCCCGCGCACGCACAUACACACACGCACACAUUAUCACCUGGCCGGCACAUGUGAUCCCGCAAGGGUACACUGCCCUCUUUAAUCCGUUGUUAUUUUUUCGUUUUUUUUUUGUGCUGUGCCCUUGCCGAGCAGAAGUCUUCUGUGACUGGUAGGCACACGGCGACGAAACGCUGCCGGCAAUCCCAUCAAGAGCUUCCGGUGUGAAGCGUUUAGCCUCCAUGCCGUGCAACGUGUCAUGCUCUACCUCCCAGCACAGCGUGACCGACGAGCCGCGCUUUAUUAUGGAUUUUAGCAUGAACAAGGUUGCCAAGUACUUCCGUCUAUUAGGUUACGACACGCUCUGCUCCCGCGACGUGCCGCAGGCCGACCUCAUCCCCGCCGCGUGCGCUGAGGGCCGAAUACUUGUGACAUGCAGUCGGCCACUAGCACGCAGCGUGCAGCUGCACAACCACCGCGUGCGCACCAUGCGGCUUGGCACUGCAAAGGCGAUGACAGGCGCUGCGCGUCAUGUUGUGGCAUACGAUUCGGAUGGGGAGUCCAUCUACUCGCAUGAAAGCGGGGAGGUGGACGUCGAGCUACGGUGCCUCUUUACUCAGCAGUGGCGCAGCAGCGAGUUCAAGCGCGCUAUGAUCGAGCUCAUUCAACAGGCGGGGGUGACGUACGACCUGAACCGGGUCUUCCGCCGCUGCGUGACAUGCAACGAGCUUCUUGUCACGGUGAAGAAGGAGGAGGUGCGCGGCCGCGUCGUGGCAAAGAUUCACGAGAUUUACGACGAGUUCACUGAGUGCCCCGCGUGCCGAAAAGUCUUCUGGGGCUUUGAUGGCAUUUUUGCGAUCAACUACAAGAGCUUUCGCUCCCUCAACCUGUUGCGCUCGCUGUGCAUCUGCGCUGGGGCCCCCGUGGAGGAGGAGCGGACGCGACUUACUCGACUUCGCUGCUUUCGCUCGUUUCCUCGUAUUGCGAAGGUGCUCAUCUUCUCCUACCUGGAGGACGUGGAUCUAGCGAACAUGAUCGCCGUUUUCCCUGCACUGCGCGACCUCGCCGAGGAAGUACAGGAAAGUCGCCAAACAGGGGAGCCUGUCCAAAAGAUGCGGCUCAGAAAGCGUUGAUCUAACCGCGUCGGUUGAAGGGCACGCCGACGGGGAGGAAAAGAAAAGAGCCACUGAAGAUGUGCCGCGCCGAUAUCGUCUUGGCAGCCGCAGUUCUCUCGUAAGGUGAGUGUGUCGCACUGUUCUUGCCGCUCACUUAUCUACCCGCACACGCACACAGAAGGAAAAAGAGCAGAGCAGCAGAGCGAGAGGAAGAAAGAAAAGGAGACAUAUGUGCUGCUGCUCUGUUCUUGCUUGCGCGUUUUGAAAGCUUCCCCGCGUUGCUGUCCUUGUCCCCGCCCUCACACCCGCGCUCAUGCAUGAGAGGUGUACCGCUCACUGCCUUUUCUUUUGACUCUUGCCACCAGGACGAGGCCAAGCGUCUCCAACGGUGACGGUGCGCAUCUCCACACUCGGAACGCUGUUCUCAAAUUCACACACACACACACACACACACACGCACAAACACACAGUCAGAACCAGAGGAACGUGCGUGAAUUGCAGGAUGGGCCACACGAAGUGUCCAUUAGGGGAGGUUUCUACCGUAAAAGCGGAGGCCGGCAGAGCUUCAUCGCUUAGUUGCACCUCCUCGGUGCAAGACGACCAGUGCCUUCAUCUUCUCUUCUUGGUCGCGACGGAGGCGGCGCCGAAUGUGAGGGCCGCUACACCUGCCUCGCUCAUCAUGAUCCCUCUCUUUUUUCCAUGACUAGCACCACGUCAUGCACCAAUUUAAACGCCUGUCUUGCACUCACUUGUUUUUUCAACCCCUCUGGUCUUCUCAGCGGAUCUCUUGCGCCUCUGUUUUGUGACUCGCACCCACCAUUCCUCCUCCCCCCUUCCCUGCCCACACGCAUGCAG
rnacentral:misc_RNA from 1 species